GACGAACGCUGGCGGCGUGCUUAACACAUGCAAGUCGAACGGAAAGGCCCUGCUUUUGUGGGGUGCUCGAGUGGCGAACGGGUGAGUAACACGUGAGUAACCUGCCCUUGACUUUGGGAUAACUUCAGGAAACUGGGGCUAAUACCGGAUAGGAGCUCCUGCUGCAUGGUGGGGGUUGGAAAGUUUCGGCGGUUGGGGAUGGACUCGCGGCUUAUCAGCUUGUUGGUGGGGUAGUGGCUUACCAAGGCUUUGACGGGUAGCCGGCCUGAGAGGGUGACCGGCCACAUUGGGACUGAGAUACGGCCCAGACUGCUACGGGAGGCAGCAGUGGGGAAUAUUGCACAAUGGGCGGAAGCCUGAUGCAGCAACGCCGCGUGCGGGAUGACGGCCUUCGGGUUGUAAACCGCUUUCGCCUGUGACGAAGCGGGAGUGACGGUAAUGGGUAAAGAAGCACCGGCUAACUACGUG
rnacentral:rRNA from 1 species